UAUCUCUCUAACCUAUGUUCUCUAACCUCUCAUCUCUCUAGAACCUUCUGGUUCUCUCCAACUUCUCCGGUAACGACCAUCGCCUCUCCGGCUCAUUCCUCCCAUACCUCUCUCGAUCUCUAGUAACCACGGAGUCCCUGUAUCACCAUAUUCUCUCCAAAGCUUGAAAAACCAGAAUCCUCCACCAUGAAGAUGGUUACUGAAGCCUCGUCGAGGUUCAAUUCCGGCCUUUCUCCGAUGGAUUUUGGUUUGAUGAUGCUAAAAACGUCAUUAUCUUUGAGCUUCACAGCCAGGUUUCUCUUACCCCCUCUCACUGGUUUCUUAUGAAAUCCUAAUUUAACCCCAAACAUCUCAGACCUCUGAUAUUUUAAACAAUUUUUGACUCGUUUUUUCGUGUUUCACACUAUUUUUUACUCAAUCUUUACGAUUAUUCCAGUUUUAAACGAUUUCUGUUCUUUUUCAAAACGAGGGUUUUCUGACCCUUUUCAAAGUCACUAUAUCUCCUACUUUUCUUGAGUAUUAUGUCGUUGUUUGUGUUUAUUUGUGUUGCGAGCAUUUAGUUUCCUUUUUUUGAGUUCUAUGCUCAAACUUUCUGGCUAGGGUUUCUCACCCUUUUAAAAAUCGCAUAUCUUCUGCUUUUUGUGAAUAUUAUGUGUUCGUUUGUGCUUGUUGUGUUACAAGUUAUUUUGGUUUCCUUGGAAAGUUGAGUUCCUUGUUUUAGUUUCUUGCUAGGGUUCUGACCCUUUGUUGCUUCUAUGACUCCUUGCUUAGGAUUCUCUGAUUUGCAUGUCUACUAUACUUUAUAGGUUUAGUGGUUCAUCGCUCAUGUGAUAUUCUACUGAUAUGUGCAUAUCUGUGAAAUCCAUGAUUUGUAUAUUAUUUUCCUCAAACGUUUUACAAUGAUUUCUUUUGAACCCCUUCCUUAUUUAGAUGUGCUUUCCUUACUUAUAAGGAUUCCCUUUGAUUUUUGGUUUUUGUCCAUGAUUCUCUGACUAAUUCAC
rnacentral:lncRNA from 1 species